UUUCGUGGCCGAGCCACUCCGACCAAACACCACGUGGCACGCGUCCGAGUUGCACGUGCAUUCGCGGAGCUGCGGGAGCCCGGUGCGCGCGCGAGAACGGGCGCUUGCGAGAGAGCUUGCGAAGGGGUCGAAUCCCUCUGUGUCUCCUCCCCUCUCUCUUUCUCUUUAUUCUCCUUUGAUUGCUCUUUAUACCUUGCGACGCGUUUCAUAUAAAUGACUGAUCGAGUCAUUGUCAUGUUGCACUAUUGUGACGUGAAGAUUUAAUUGUGCUUUGAGAAACCUGCUGAGAUCGACGUCUUUCAUCUUCACUGAUAAUCAAGAGUUACUGGCAAAGACGAAGAUUUCAACGAGUUACGGACGAGGCGAUAAAAUGACUAUGGAUGGGAGCAAGAGCGAACCGGGCAAGAACGGGGCCACUCAACAGGAAUGCGCGGGUUGCGGAAAGGCGAUUACGGAGAGAUAUCUACUGAAAGCAUUGGACAUGUAUUGGCACGAGGACUGCUUGAAAUGCGGCUGCUGCGACUGCAGGCUUGGCGAAGUUGGCUCGACGCUUUACACCAAAGCUAAUCUCAUCCUCUGCAAGAGAGAUUAUCUACGGCUCUUCGGAAAUACCGGUCACUGCGCGGCGUGCAGCAAAGUCAUCCCAGCUUUCGAGAUGGUGAUGCGCGCAAGGACCAAUGUUUAUCACUUGGAGUGCUUCGCUUGUCAGCAGUGCAAUCACAGAUUUUGCGUGGGCGACAGAUUUUAUCUCUGUGAUAACAAGAUCCUCUGCGAGUACGAUUACGAGGAGAGAUUGGUUUUCGCCAAUAUGGCUUUACAUCCGCCGCCAACCGCGACCCUGGCACACAUCAAGAGACAAGUGACGCACCUUCAGCCGCAGCUAGAGUUAUAAUCUAGACAAGGACACGAGUCACUAACCAGAAUUUGUUAACUAAGGCGGUCAGUGCGAUUCACCUUCUGUGAACGUAGCGGGCGGCCCUCAGCGGCAGGCGAACGGGGAAGCGGCGGCCCAUAACCACAACGGAUAUCCACCGCCAGCCAGCACGAGCGCCCAUAACGUCCUGAACCCCA
rnacentral:misc_RNA from 1 species